CCUACGGGUGGCAGCAGUGGGGAAUAUUGCACAAUGGGGGAAACCCUGAUGCAGCGACGCCGCGUGAGUGAAGAAGUACUUCGUUACGUAAAGCUCUAUCAGCAGGGAAGAAAAUGACCGUACCUGAGUAAGUAGUCCCGGCUAACUACGUGCCAGCAGCUGCGGGAAUACGUAGGGGGCAAGCGUUAUCCGGAUUUACUGGGUGGAAAGGGAGCGUAGACGGUGCGCCAAGUCUGGAGUGAAAUGCCGCAGCUUAACUGCGGAACUGCUUUGGAAACUGGCGAACUAGAGUGCGGGAGGGGUAAGCGGAAUUCCAAGUGUAGCGGUAAAAUGCGUAGAUAUAAGGAGGAACACCAGUGGCGAAGGCGGCUUACUGGACCGUAACUGACGUUGAGGCUCGAAAGCGUGGGGAGCAAACAGGAUUAGAUACCCCUGUAGUC
rnacentral:rRNA from 1 species